rnacentral:rRNA from 1 species
GACGAACGCUGGCGGCGUGCCUAACACAUGCAAGUCGAACGGAAAGGCCCGGCUUUUGCGGGGUGGUCGUGUGGCGCGGGGGUGAGUAUCACGUGAGUAACCCCUCCCUGUCCUACUGAUAUCUUCACGAAAAAGGGGCUAUUAUCCCAGAGGAUCUAUUGCACCAUGGUGGGGGUUGGUAAGUUUCGGCGGUUGGGGAUUGACUCGCGGCUUACCAGCUUGUUGGGGGGGUAGUGGCUUACCAAGGCUAUGACGGGUAGCCGGCCUGGGAGGGUUGCCGGCGACAAUAGGACUGAGAUACGGCGCAGACUGCUACGUGAGGCAACGGUGGAGAAUAUUACACAGUAGGCGGGAGCCAGAUGCAGCAACGCCGCGUGCGGGAUGACGGCCUUCGGGUUGUAAACCGCUUUCGCCUGUGACGAGGCGUUAGUGACGGUAAUGGGUAAAGAAGCACCGGCUAACUACGUG